GGGGGCGUCACGGUUUCGACGGGGACAUUUGAAGUUGUAGAAGCGUACCGAGGUUCCUACAGGCCUCGUUAAAUAGGUAGGAAACAUAUAAUCGCAGACAACUACGAUUACGCAUUAGCCGCCUAGGUCGGCUAACGUUCUGCCCGGUUUUCCUGUUGGCUUGGUUGGAACGUCAUUUAGACAGGAUAGCCAAACUUCUUUCCUGGGGGAGGGCGGCGAAUACUUACAGGAUAGCGCGGUAAGAUCCGGCCUUGGGGAGCAAACCAGCGUGAAGGUUCUAAAACUUAGGCUACGUACGUAGAAGCUACAGCGGAAGGUUUUCGGACGCGGGUUCGACUCCCGCCGCCUCCACCA
rnacentral:tmRNA from 1 species